AAGAAAGAGGACUAAGAGAGGGAAAGCAGUCACAAGCGCAGCGGCCACAAGUAACAGACGUAAGAAACGUCAAAAAGCAGAACGUCGUGCAUUAGCUUCUGAAGUUCAAGUGAUCACAGUGUCUGAGGAAGUCCCUCAGAUCGAAGAAGAGAUGACUGCAAGUCUUGAAACGUGUCUUCAACAGCUGAGGGACACUCUUGACUCAGUUGAGGUUAAUGUGGCAGCUGAAAAAACAGCAUGGGCACAGCGGCAGCUACACGCUGAUACAAGGGCAAAAGCAGCAAGGCCAGUGCUGCUCGAUGCUAAACUGUCCGCUGAAAGAGACUUCUACCAAAAAUGUCACAGGUGCGGUGC